GGCAGAGCCGGGAGAUGGCGGCGGCUCCAGCCGGGGCCCCUCCGCCGCUGCCCCUCGGCACCCUGGGCCUGCUCCGGGUGGGAAAGGGGGGGGUUGGAUGGCACGGGGAGAAGCGGAGCUCUGCAGAAAGCAGGCUGGGCGUCGGCUGUGGCUGCCCCUCGGGAGGUGUGUACUGCCUGUGCCUACAGCGUUCCUCGCCUCAGCACCAGGAGUUUGUUAGCACGGUGUUGGCUUCUUGUGGCAGCGAAAGCAACGGGAAAGCCAAACUGCUCUCAAGGCACAGAAGCAAGAAAUGGCUCGUUUAAAAUAACCCCAAAUAAGUACAUGUCUUAGAAACUUAACCCGCAUUCCAACCUAAAAGCCUCAGGAGUUUACUGCUUACGUGUGCCGUGCUUCCACAGUCGGAUAGCUGAAUGGCAGCACCAUGGUAAAGACACCCCAGCAAACCCCUGUGCCGUGCGAUGUCUGGUUUCAACAAGGCCGAGGAUGUCCAGACCAGCAGAAGUGAUGGGUGGCUGCUCCUCCAGUGUGUGCUGGGAUUCCUGGCCUUCCUCUUUCUGUCAGCAGGAGGAACGGAGGGGCAUGGCACCCUGGAAAGGGGCUUUGCUUGUUAGAGGAUGGCCAUCAGCCCGGCUUUGCCCCACAUGAGGAGGCAGAAGAGCUCAGAGGUGGUUCGCUAAGUAAACAUUGCCACAGACAGCACCAUGGUCUGCUGGGUAAAGUAGAGAAUGCUGCUUGCAGAGGAAGAACCAUUCAGUGAUCAGCUGUUCUGGGUGGAAAAGCUGCCGGUAGGUGCCAGUCCGCACUUCAUCUGAACGACAAAGAAAAUGUACAAGCUUAGAAGAGAACCCUCAUAAAUUAUUAGAAAAGAUUUGCAAGAGUAAAACAUCUUUUAGGAUACUUCUGCUUUCUGAUUCUCCGCGCUCCUGUCUUUCAUUUAAAUACGAAGAAAGCAUUUUCCACAGUUAGCAAAAGAAAAAUAAAAUCACACACACACACAAAAAGAUUAGAAGGGAACCUCCCUAAGUAGGUUAAAUUGUACUCAUAACCAGUGUGGAUUUAGACAAUAGUAAACUUCUGAGUUUAUUAUUAGUUAAGGCAUCCAUGACAGAAUCAGUUUUCAUCUAGUUGAAGGUGUCCCUGCCCAUGGCAGGGGGUUGGAAUUAGAUGAUCUUUAAGGUCCCUUCCAACCCAAACCAUUUUAUGAUUUUAUGAUCAUUUCAAUUGAGAAUAACAUAUUUUAGUAAUAUUUCCUAUUUAAAACUUUGAAUAUUCUACCUGGAGGUCAAGAUCAUCCCUAAAGAUAAGGGAGAGUCCUGCUAUUUGGUGAUCUGAGCUUUGCCACACAGAAGAGUUAAUUCAUUUCACUUUUCCAAGACUGGUUCUAUACUGACCUACUACCGUUGGUUCUAAGUCCACCAUAAUAGCCCGGG